CAAGUGUCUUGUUUCACAGAACUUCCCAUGCCAUCCUAACAAGUGCAGGAUGUCAUUUUUUCCUGUAUCUUAGGCCAAUGGUACAUAUUUUUCUCUCUUUAUCGGCCUUUCUCACUGGUUUGUUUUGCUUGCAUACUAUGCCUCAUAGUAUUAUGACGCUGACCAACACUGGGAAGAAAAGCUCAAGCAGUCUGCACCGCAUGUACCAAACCUUCUGAUGAUCUCAUCUAAUUGUUCUUUAAAAAAAGCACAACAAAACGUGAAAUUGUUGUGACUCAAGAAAAAGAAGAAACUGCUUUGGAGUCUCCUCACUAUUGAUUCUGCUGUCAGUGUGAAUUCCCUGCACCCCUGUGAUCCGGAGACCAUUCAAAUGCUACUGAUUUGGACACUUCCAAGGUUAAGACUCACCCGUUCUCAGACAGAUCUCAUCUUUUGACUGGAACCAGGGUAUGAAAAAGUCAAAAACCUGCAAGAAAGAAAGGAGGAGAAUUACCUUUUCUGAGCUGAUUGAACUGUGACCUAGCAAUGUCAGUAACGAGAGAGCUAAGUCAUCACUGCUGCUUCUGCUUGAUUCGGACUUUAUCUUAACACUUUAGGGAGCUCACGGACCGAGCCUUCAUGCAGGAUUUUGUGGUUUCAAUGAACUGAAAGUAGGGCACUAAAGAUCGUCAGAGUAUUUCUUUGAUGACUGCAGCAGUUCUCACCGCUGCGGCACUGAUCUCCUGUUUUAAACGCUAAGCGAUUGCCAUUAGGCGGGUUCGUACCCUCCUUCCCGUGCAUCCUAUCCUAAGGUUUCACUCCCUCUCUCCGAAUACACAAAUUACCCAACGAGCCGGCGUCCCUACUGCUGCUGCACUUAGGAAAGUGAGAAGCGUUAGGUCUGCAUCCCCGAACCCGCUGUGCACACAUGACCUCAAAGAACCCGAGAGUUCUCAAAAAAGCACACAGCUACGGGCUUGUGAACACGAUCUUUGUUUUCUCGUGAUUCGGUCCCUCUCCGGUUCUGCCCCUCGCCACAGCUGAUUUCAGUGAACUCCAGAGGGAAAUCACUUGUGGAAGAGGCACAGCAAUUGCUUCAGCUACUGCUGCCUUCUGACUGAAUCGAAAGAUUCGCUUAGGCUCCUCUGCAAGUUAAAGAUGCCAUUUGUUUGCUCUCAAAGAUGAAUGCAGUGUCACAUCCCUUCCCUCCGAGGCUGUGGUGCUCCCCCAGCACCGUGGCGUUUCGUGCUGGCGUUGCUCACUGCGGGCUGCCGGUGUUGCUGCGGACAGAUAUGCGUGCAGAUCGAUGGGCGAGCAGCCAGCCCUGCUUGUGCUGAUGUAGUGCUCAGGAGCACCCUCCCCAGAUUUUAAUCCUCUGUGGCUAACUUUUCCUGUUCCUCUGUGGCAAUGCCAGAUAUGCCUGCUAUGACUUGAGGAGGUGGUACUCUUCCUGUUGCACAGAGAACAAAGUCUUUCUGGACUGAGCCAUGGUUCAGUUUUGUCAUCUGUUCUUAAGCUGAACCAUCACCACUUCAUGUUUUUUUUUUUUUUUUUAAUGUGGCAAGUUCAGUAAGAAUUGGGUAACAUGUGACUAAUCUCUAUACCCCAUUUAAAAUCCAUUCGAAAUAGUGUUUUCUGCUUAAUUUCUUCUUGCCACCCCUCCAAAAAUUUGCCAGAUUACCCAAUUUCGUCUCUGUGUCUGGGUGCCACCCACCUCCCUGGUCUACUGAAAAUCCCCAUCCCAUACGGAUUGCUGGUCAUUUCCACAUGACAAUUUACUGAACGUCUUCUUCACGUCCAUACAGACAAAGGAAAAAAAGAGUGAUGUCUCGCGUUAACUUCAUCCUCCUUUUUUUCAAUAUUAAAAUGACUUUAACUGUCAAAGUUUGUUCUGAAGUCUCGUAUGUGACUGGCGCUCAUUCUGCUCAUCUUUCUCUCUUCCCCGUCUAUUUUUCUUCAGAUGGCAACAUUCCCAACUCAACGAAUUUACCAGCCCUCACUCGUCCAAACCCCGGCCUGAGUUGAUGAGUAAAAUAUGAACCAAUUGCCUCGGUUUUAGCACAUUUAACUCUUUGGUUUUGUUUCCACUUCGGGCAGUGACGUGUAUUUUGCAUUCAGCCUCGGCCACACCACAGCCUGGAAGCUUCUUAUGGCGAACAGAGGUGUGAGGCCUCACUUCAGACGCUCUCCUGAUGCACGGCAGGACUACACUUCUGCUUCUUUCUGCCAGUGCCACUGAAAACCUCUUUCUGUCCCCUUUGUGUCCCCGCCGAGCUCUCUCUGUCAGCGAUUCUCACAGGGCAGAGUCACACGCUAACCCUCUCCUUGUUGAGGGGCCUUCCCUUGAGAAGGUACGCAGUUCCUUCUCCAGACAGCUUCGCAGCCUUCCUUCCCCCCGCACCCCACUUCCCACGCUUCGCUCAGUUUUUCUCUUCGCCCCCGAGCCCGAUGCCGCCCUGCGACUGCGAGUCGCGCCUCAGAGGCGGGGCGGCC
ensembl:lncRNA